CCUAUCCCACCAUGGUGGCAAUGGGAUUUUGUUGUGUGGUUUUUUAUGAGGGAAAAGAUUAUCGGCAGUUUUUAUCAUGGCAUCUGAUAAAGCUUCGGCACAAGCCUGUUCAUUCCCACUUUGAAUUUCAGGAAGGCUAGAAACGAUUUUAUCCAAGUGUUCCCUAUACGUAUGCCAGUUUAUAUCAGUUAGUUUAUACUUCAACCGCGGAGGGCGACUGGAAUAAGAUUUUUGGCUGGAUGGAAAUUUUAAAACUAUGGGAAAAUGAUCACUACCAUAAGUAGAAGGCAUAACUUCCCAACUCAAAUGCGAGGCUAGUUUAUUAGUGCAUAGUGACAGGUCAGGUGCACUGGCACCUUCAUUUGGAGAUGUGCGUCGAAAACUGCAUUAAUUACAGUGGCAGCGAUGGUCGGUGAGAGGUGAUGAGUCUGGGUUAAAGAUUUAAUUAGUGCUAUGAUUAACUCAUUUACUGAAGCUGAUGAUAGAUCAUCUCUGGGGAUGAGAGCACAACCAUCUUUUGGUUGAGGCAGACCCCUAGUGAGUUCUUGAUGGAAUUGCUGAUCAUAACCUUUUGAAAACUGAGGGGGGGAACGAGGCUUAAUAAAUACAGUUUUUUUA
rnacentral:lncRNA from 1 species